rnacentral:rRNA from 1 species
GACGACGCUGGCGGCGUGGAUUAGGCAUGCAAGUCGGACGGUAGAGCUUUAUCGUAAGAUAGAGUUUGAGAGUGGCGAACGGGUGAGUAACACGUAGGAAUCUACCCUUAAGACGGGGACAACCCAGGGAAACUUGGGCUAAUACCGGAUGAGAGUGCGAGAGAUUGCAUUUAAAGGAUGGCGAAAGUUGUCGCUUAGGGAUGAGCCUGCGGUCUAUUAGUUAGUUGGUGGGGUAAAAGCCUACCAAGCCUUCGAUCUGUAGCCGGUCCGAGAGGACGACCAGCCACACUGGAACUGAGACACGGUCCAGACUCCUACGGGAGGCAGCAGUGGGGAAUUUUGGACAAUGGGCGCAAGCCUGAUCCAGCAAUGCCGCGUGCAGGAUGAAGGCCUUCGGGUUGUAAACUGCUUUUGUACGGAACGAAACGGUUCUUUCUAAUAAAGAGGGCUAAUGACGGUACCGUAAGAAUAAGCACCGGCUAACUACGUG